rnacentral:rRNA from 1 species
GCAAGUCGAGCGAAGCGGCUGAAUUGAUUCUUCAGAUGAUUUUCAGUUGACUGAGCGGCGGACGGGUGAGUAACGCGUGGGUGACCUGCCCCAUACCGGGGGAUAACAGCUGGAAACGGCUGCUAAUACCGCAUAAGCGCACAGAGCUGCAUGGCUCGGUGUGAAAAACUCCGGUGGUAUGGGAUGGGCCCGCGUCUGAUUAGGCAGUUGGCGGGGUAACGGCCCACCAAACCGACGAUCAGUAGCCGGCCUGAGAGGGCGACC